GUUUGACCCUCGGAUGACCUCUGACCUCCUCUGCCGACACAAGCACAAAAAGCAGGAUAUCUAUCUGAAUGAGGACUUCCAGACCAGCUUCACAAAGAAACUGGAAAUCCAGCUACAGAAUACCAAAUAUUCCCAUAGGAAUGCUUCCUCCAGCCAACAUUCCUCCAGCUGCCCAACCUAAGUCCGACAAAUUGUGAGAAGAAAGAAAAAAGAAAAAAAGUUGCUGCAUAAUGUGACCAACCCCAAAGGCAAUAAUGAAAGGGCAAUGCCAGCUUGUUUGGAAAUGAAUGGUGACCGGAUUUGCUUUUUGAAAUAACCAGCGAAAGAGUUUCUUUGUACAUGCUGGGCUUGGUUUUAGGGAGUUAGCCUUCAAAGGUUUUAGGGAACAGUGUCACAAAACUUAGAUUCCUGAGAGUUGAGUCAGUGCUAUUGGUGGUUCCCUAAACCGUCAUUGCUAAUAUUGAUCCUAGAGGUCGGCCUUUGACCUCUCCCACCAUUCACUUUUCCAUAUCCAGUGUUAUCUGAGAACAUCUGCAGCUAAGGUUCACAAGGGUCAGAGUACACAGAAUGUAAACACUGCACAGCACCAUUAACACAUCACUGUACUCAGCACACAUUCAUGUGAGGUACACUUCUGUUUCUGUUAAAUGGAGUGUGAAUGUUUGCUAAUUAGUAGUUGUGAGUAGUUUGUGCUGAGUAGUUGUGCUAAUUUCCUGCUGUCAAAACAAAGAAGAUUAAACAUUUGCAAAACAUAAAUAAUUAAAAAAUAUAGGCGCCACUAUACUUCCAGUCUUCUGCAAAAUAUGACCAAGCCUGUUUAGUGCCUUCAUGAAAUAUUCAACUACAAUUUUUUGGAAUAUGUACAAAUAAAACAAAGUACCAGGGUCCUUUUGCAUAACACACAAGCUUGGCCACUUCCCAUCCAAGUUAACUAAUAUUAAUGUGCAAAGAUUUCCACCUGUAAUCAGUGUCAAUAGAGUGCUGCAGUGAUGAUUUGUUUUUUGUAGGACAAGCCGCAAGUUAACAUAACCCUGGUUCCAUCUUAAAAAAAAAAAAAAGGAUUUUUCCAUUAGCUUUUGGAUUAUUUCUGAAAAUAAGCUCUGUGAUUAACAAAAGUUUGAUUCACACGUUUUGUUUAUGAUAAUCUUCACAAAUGAACACAACUUUUAUGACUUUUGAAGUCUAGAUACAAUCAGCCUAAGUAAAAAGCUAAAUGUAGGCUAUAAACAAACUACACCACAGUCACAUGACUUCAACGUCAC
rnacentral:lncRNA from 1 species